UUUUUAAAGGGAAAUUCCCUUAUUCCGAAUAGGAUUCCUUGCAAGAAAAGGGAAAAGUUGACAGCUAUGAAAAGGGAUAGUGGUGGAAGAAGCGUGUAUGCACCCUAACCACCUUGGAGGAACAUGGGGUAAAAGUAAUAUUAAUAACAACAAAUAAAUAUCCAGUUAAGAGGGACAGAUAGCAAGUGAUGGGCAACAAUCAUAGAACUGUGGAGUUGGAAGGGAUCCUCAGGAUCAUUUAGUCCAACCCCCUGCAAUGCAGAAAUCUUUUGCCCAAGAUGGGGCUCGAACCCACAACCUUGAGAUUAAGCUCUGCUUCAGAGUCUACCCUCCAUGCCCAUUGUCCAUGCUGGCUGGUGCUGAUGGGAGCUGGAGUCCAUCAACGACCUUGGCUACCCUUGGUGUAGGCAGUCCAAGACUUGGGACCCGUGUGCAUAGAGCUAUUAUGCUUGCAAAGCCUUUUCUUACAUGCGCCUGUGAAUAGCCACAGCGGUGCAGCAUAGCGGCUGAGACCGAGCUGAGGAGACCUCAUUUCAAAUCUCACCUCUGCCGCAAGCUCACUAGAGGCAAGCCUUCGGAUCUAUUUGUGUACAUGCGCGGCCGUUUCUAAUGCGGGACGGAAAGUGGUUGUUGUUUUUUUGCAAACCAAACCUCGAAUUUACAUGCUAGCCAAUGCAAUCUUUGCCUUUGCACUAUAGGCGGAGGGUUGGGAGUGCAAGAAUUUAUUGCGGUGCUGCGCCUCUAAGCUGAACAGCUCAGAAAGGAUUUCCUAAAUCGUGAGAGCCCAUCAGCUCCCAAGUGGGUUUUUUCGGCAUCUUCAUCUUUGCAAGGCUAACCUGCCAGAGAUGAUUUCGAGUUGGGGCUAUCCUGCCUCCCAGCAGAGUUCUGGACUUAAGCCUGUCUCUUUGGGAGAGCACGUAACUUCCCUGUGAUUGCGGGAGAUCAUUACACUCGGACGGACAUCUCUUCCCGCCCACUGCACAAGGAAGGGAGUGUGCAGAACUCUCGCCCCCCUCUCUCCCAACCCUUGUACCAGUGCCAAAUGUGUUCCCCCACUGGUACAGAGGAUGGAAGGGAGGGUGGUGCACAGACACAGUCCUCUUUGGAGUCUUCCCUCCCCAACUCUGAUGACAGCUCUAAGCCAGCAUCUUCCAGCACCAUCUUCCCUUCAACCAGCUCUGAAAGCCAGGCGGCCUCAUCUUCUCCCUGCCUUCACUCAUAACCACUGGCUCUGCUGAUGGCGUUCCCAACGUGUCAUCCUCAGACAUCUUUAGAGCCCAUCAAGGCCUCCUGCCCUUCUCUUGGACAGUUGCCUAUUUUGGUUUUUGGUUUUGCCUUCUGGAUUUUUGUGGGGGAAAGGGGUAUAGGAGCCUUGACUAAUUUAUAUUUGCAUUGGCACUUUUUCUUCUGUGAAAUUUUGUGGUACCCAUGACAGGUAAUGCGAUUUCCAAAUGUGACCCCCUCCCCACUCCAGGCACAAAAUGAUGAUGGUGAUGAUGAU